CAAUGACAGUUCUAAAUUUAAAUUAAAUUGUAAGAAUGAUAGGCAUAUUUUUUGUGCAAAUUCCAUUUUAAGCACUUUAUGGCUUGGUAGGUAACAUAGUAAUACGUAUAUGUAAAUGCGGUAGUGCGGUUAUGACACUUGUACAUGUUUACCGAUGGUAAACUUACGGUUUAUG